GGUGGAGUCACCAUCCCUGGAGGUCUUUAAAAGACGUUUAGAUGUAGAGCUUAGGGAUAUGGUUUAGUGGAGUACUUAGUGUUAGGUCGGAGGUUGGACUCGAUGAUCUUGAGGUCUCUUCCAACCUAGAGAAAUCUGUGAAUCUGUGAAGAUGACUUGUUAAAAUACAGGCACCAAUUUCUCUGCUUCUGGUGUUCACUAAAGCUCAGACACUGGGAUUUCAUUGCUGGGCAAAUCCAGGAACAUUGGUAAUUUUGUGGCUCAAUACAGUAGAGACCAACACCCGAAGUGCUUCAUGUUAAGUCUUCUGAGCAGUGUGGACAACACAGAUCUUGGAUGAGCAAGUAGAAAUAGUUUGCAGGAUAUACAGGGAGAAAGCCUAUAGUGAAGAAAAGACACUAAAUAUUGACAUGCCAUUGAAUCAAAAUAAUUCAGUAUCUAUACAACAUCAGUAUUGUAAUCAUAAUAAGACAUACAGAAAUAUUAAAAUUUUAAUUGAUCCAGUUGUAUCAUUAUUAUCCUUCAAACCCAAAUGGACCAGGUAUCACUGA
rnacentral:lncRNA from 1 species